rnacentral:misc_RNA from 1 species
CUGCCCUCAAGCACGGCUUGUGUGUUGGGUGUGGCCCGCCUCUUCUGUAGGGGGGCCUGCCCGAAAGGCAGCGGCGACGUCGCGUCUGGUCCUCGAGCGUAUGG